UGUGAAGAAAACUAUCUUUCCAACGUAUCAGUUAAUUGCCUGGAGCAUACGAUCAGUGAUGAAAGCUUGGAACAGAGGUACUGUGUGAGGUGGGUACUGUGUGAGGUGGGUACUGUGUGAGGUGGGCACUGUGUGAGGUAGGCACUGUGUGAGGUAGGCACUGUGUGAGGUGGGUACUGUGUGAGGUAGGCACUGUGUGAGGUGAGUACUGUGUGAAGUAGGCACUGUGUGAGGUAGGCACUGUGUGAGGUAGGCACUGUGUGAGGUAGGCACUGUGUGAGGUAGGCACUGUGUGAGGUGGGCACUGUGUGAGGUAGGCACUGUGUGAGAUGGGCACUGUGUGAGAUGGGCACUGUGUGAGGUGGGCACUGUGUGAGGUGGGUACUGUGAGAGGUGAGUACUGUGUGAGGUGGGCACUGUGUGAGGUGAGUACUGUGUGAGGUAGGCACUGUGUGAGGUGGGCACUGUGUGAGGUGAGUACUGUGUGAGGUAGGCACUGUGUGAGGUAGGCACUGUGUGAGGUGGGUACUGUGUGAGGUAGGCACUGUGUGAGGUGAGUACUGUGUGAAGUAGGCACUGUGUGAGGUAGGCACUGUGUGAGGUAGGCACUGUGUGAGGUAGGCACUGUGUGAGGUAGGCACUGUGUGAGGUGGGCACUGUGUGAGGUAGGCACUGUGUGAGAUGGGCACUGUGUGAGAUGGGCACUGUGUGAGGUGGGCACUGUGUGAGGUGGGUACUGUGAGAGGUGAGUACUGUGUGAGGUGGGCACUGUGUGAGGUGAGUACUGUGUGAGGUAGGCACUGUGUGAGAUGGGCACUGUGUGAGAUGGGCACUGUGUGAGGUGGGCACUGUGUGAGGUGGGUACUGUGAGAGGUGAGUACUGUGUGAGGUGGGCACUGUGUGAGGUGGGCACUGUGUGAGGUGGGUACUGUGUGAGGUGGGUACUGUGUGAGGUAGGCACUGUGUGAGGUGGGCACUGUGUGAGGUGGGCACUGUGUGAGGUGGGCACUGUGUGAGGUGGGUACUGUGUGAGGUAGGCACUGUGUGAGGUGGGCACUGUGUGAGGUGGGUACUGUGAGAGGUGGGUACUGUGAGAGGUGGGUACUGUGUGAGGUGGGCACUGUGUGAGGUGGGCACUGUGUGAGGUGGGCACUGUGUGAGGUGGGCACUAUGUGAGGUGGGUACUGUGUGAGGU